CUCUAGGGAGCCUAAUAUCCUAGGUUACUUUCCCAUUGGUCUACUUAUAUUCCAUUAUUUUGUUAACAUGGCCUUGAAAACGUCUUCUAAGAUCCUUUUCCUCUCAUUUGUGCCAUUGUCAGGUGCCAGCUAGAAAUUGUUGAGGAAACAGUACCAGGCCUAGAGUUAGGAAACCAAUUUUCUUGAGUUCAAAUCUGUCCUAAUUAGUUGUGUGACCCUGGGCAAAUCUCUUAUCCUUGUUUGCCUCAGUUUCCUCAUCUGUCAAAUGAACUGGAGAAGGAAAAGACAAAUUACUCUAGUAUCUUUGCCAAGAAAACCCCAGAUAAGGUCACAAAAAAGUUAGACACAACUGAAAUGAUUGAACAAUAACAAACAGGGUUCUAAAUCACUUAAGACAACUUAUCAAACUGUGUGGAGCCCAAUCCUUUAAGAAUAGAGUAAGAAGGAGGCAUUUAAAUGGCUCAGUGGAUGGAGAACCAAGCCUAGAGAUGAGAGAUCCUGGCUUCGGAUCUGGACUCAGACACUUCCUACCUGUGUUAUCUUGGGCAAGUUGCCUAAAUUCCAUUGCCUAGCCUUUACCAUUAUUCCUUGGAACCAAUGCACAGUAUUGAUUCUAAGAUGGAAGGUAAGGGUUUAAGAAAAAAAAAAGAAUGAAGUCAGAAAAGUGGAAGUUUAAAAUGAGCUAAUCCUCACAAAGAAAGUCAACAAAAAUAAUUUAGCUUUUGUUUUUGCUUUUUUGUUUUAUCAGGAAAAAGAUGAUCAGAGAUUGAAUAGGACCAUAACAUAGAGUGGAUAGGCCUGAGAGAAAGACGUAACUACUCAUCUCACAUUUUACUUCUGUUUUGUUUGCAAAGGGAAAUGAUCUUUGGAUUGAAUAGGAAAAUGUCUAAUGAUAGAAAUAUCUAAUAGGCAGGUGACAUCCAAAUAUGUAGAAUGAGAAUAAGAGAUCUCCUUGCUGCCUUCAAUGAGUCCAUAUCACAGGCUCAAAGACAUAACAUUAUAAGAAUAGUGGAAGAAAUGUAUGAUCUGCUUGUUCUUUCUCUGGAUUGACUGUGAUAUUUAGAGCACAGGAGAUGAAAAAGGUUGCAGUGGAGAAUUAAACAAAGGAACAUAAGCGUAAUAUCACUGACAUGAUGGAGAAGUGAGUAUCCAUGGGAUUAGGGAGGAGGGCAAUAGCAUUGAGUGGGAAAAAAAGGGGCAUAUAGGAUUUGAAGAAAGAGCAUGAGAUUUGAAAUAUAAAAUUCUCAUUUCAGAUUCUGGUCCAUAUUUCUCAUGUGCUUCCUCAUUUGCAAAAUAAAGGAUUUGAACAAGUUGAUUUCUGAG
rnacentral:lncRNA from 1 species